rnacentral:antisense_RNA from 1 species
GAAGUAGUGAGGGGAUUUUUUAGGUGUUGGCUAAAGGUCACCUAUUUUUUCUUAUCGUUGCGAUUGCGUAGCCAAUGCGCAAAUAACGCUACGAUACAAC